rnacentral:rRNA from 1 species
GACGAACGCUGGCGGCGUGCUUAACACAUGCAAGUCGAACGGAAAGGCCCCCUUGUGGGGUACUCGAGUGGCGAACGGGUGAGUAACACGUGAGUAACCUACCCUUGACUUUGGGAUAACUUCAGGAAACUGGGGCUAAUACCGGAUAGGAGCUCCUGCUGCAUGGUGGGGGUUGGAAAGUUUCGGCGGUUGGGGAUGGACUCGCGGCUUAUCAGCUUGUUGGUGGGGUAGUGGCUCACCAAGGCUUUGACGGGUAGCCGGCCUGAGAGGGUGACCGGCCACAUUGGGACUGAGAUACGGCCCAGACUCCUACGGGAGGCAGCAGUGGGGAAUAUUGCACAAUGGGCGGAAGCCUGAUGCAGCGACGUCGCGUGCGGGAUGACGGCCUUCGGGUUGUAAACCGCUUUCGCCUGUGACGAAGCGUGAGUGACGGUAAUGGGUAAAGAAGCACCGGCUAACUACGUG